GAAGCUGGAAUUGCUAGUAAUGGCAGGUCAGCAUACUGCCGUGAAUACGUUCCCGGGCCUUGUACACACCGCCCGUCACACCAUGAGAGUUGGAAAUACCCGAAGCCUGUGAGCUAGCAGUAAUGAGGCAGCAGUCGAAGGUAGAGCCAAUGAUUGGGGUGAAGUCGUAACAAGGUAAC
rnacentral:rRNA from 1 species